CUGGAAUCAAAAUUAAUUGGAGUAAGCAGC
rnacentral:piRNA from 1 species